rnacentral:rRNA from 1 species
AGAGUUGAUCCUGGCUCAGAACGAACGCUGGCGGCAGGCUUAACACAUGCAAGUCGAACGCACCGCAAGGUGAGUGGCAGACGGGUGAGUAACGCGUGGGAACCUUCCCUUUGGUACGGAAUAACUUCGGGAAACCGAAGCUAAUACCGUAUAAGUCCUUCGGGAGAAAGAUUUAUCGCCAAAGGAUGGGCCCGCGUUGGAUUAGCUAGUUGGUAGGGUAAAAGCCUACCAAGGCGACGAUCCAUAGCUGGUCUGAGAGGAUGAUCAGCCACACUGGGACUGAGACACGGCCCAGACUCCUACGGGAGGCAGCAGUGGGGAAUAUUGGACAAUGGGGGCAACCCUGAUCCCAGCCAUGCCGCGUGAGUGAAGAAGGCCUUAGGGUUGUAAAGCUCUUUUGGCGGGGACGAUAAUGACGGUACCCGCAGAAUAAGCCCCGGCUAACUUCGUGCCAGCAGCAGC